UGAGUGCCACUGUAGUCUUGCUGGGUUAGUUAUGGCUGCACGAGUCACUUUUGGGUGAAGUAUGAAGUGUUUGGUGGUUAACAACAACUGAACGAGCUAAGGAAUGAACAGGUUGAAGAAAAGGCAAGAAACAGAAAAGUGCGCAAACUCACCGAAAAAAAAUCCAAGUUUCUCCUGGGAUCAGGAGCUAACGAACAAACAGGUUGAAGAAAAGACAGGUGCGCGAACUCAACGAAUGAGCAAAAUAAAAAAAUCCAAGUUUCUCCUGGGAUCAGGAGCUAACGAACGAACUAACAGUUUGAAGAAAAGACAAGUGCGCGAACUGAUGACACGAAGGGAACUUUAGCCACUACACACACAUACAGACCGUUUUUGCCACACAUACAGAUCGUCAGAGCUUUUGCCACACAACGGUCUGCCAUACGGAAGUUUCCCCCACACAUUCUUUCAGUCUAGCUACACGGAUUUUUCUGUGCUCGUUCUUUGUUUGUUUAUGUAACUUUGUUUGAUAGUAAAGCAUGUAACAAAACACAUUUACAAUAAAAUAUACUGUGAUAUAUCAUACCGUUGUGCUGUGUUUAUCUGUAGUUUUAAAAUUGGUUUACCUUAAACAGGUUUGUUAUAGCUGUUAAUUUUAAAGCAAAUUACCGUAAACAAGUUUAUAUUAUGUUAUUUUUAAAGCAAAUUACCGU